GACGAACGCUGGCGGCGUGCUUAACACAUGCAAGUCGAACGGAAAGGCCCUGCUUUUGUGGGGUGCUCGAGUGGCGAACGGGUGAGUAACACGUGAGUAACCUGCCCUUGACUUUGGGAUAACUUCAGGAAACUGGGGCUAAUACCGGAUAGGAGCUCCUGCUGCAUGGUGGGGGUUGGAAAGUUUCGGCGGUUGGGGAUGGACUCGCGGCUUAUCAGCUUGUUGGUGGGGGAGUGGCUUACCAAGGCUUUGACGGGUAGCCGGCCUGAGAGGGUGACCGGCGACAUUGGGACUGAGGUACGGACCAGACUCCUACGGGAGACAGCAGUGGGGAAUAUUGCACAGUGAGCGGAAGCCUGAUGCAGCGACGCCGCGUGCGGGAUGACGGCCUUCGGGUUGUGAACAGCUUUCGCCUGUGACGAAGCGUGAGUGACGGUAAUGGGUAAAGAAGCACCGGCUAACUACGUG
rnacentral:rRNA from 1 species